rnacentral:rRNA from 1 species
CUAACAAGGAUUUUCUUAGUAGCGGCGAGCGAAAAGAAAUCAGUUCAGCACUAAGUCACUUUACCUUUAUGGUAAAUGUGAGAUGCAGUGUAUGGAACGUCUAUAAUCUAGUAUGAAAAAUUAACGAUUUAAGUCCCUCUCAAAAGAGGCCAUUUACCCAUAGAGGGUGCCAGGCCCGUAUAACGUUAAUGAUUAUUAGAAGAUGUUUCCAAAGAGUCGUGUUGCUUGAUAGUGCAGCACUAAGUGGGUGGUAAACUCCAUCUAAAACUAAAUAUAACCAUGAGACCGAUAGUAAACAAGUACCGUGAGGGAAAGUUGAAAAGAACUCUGAAUAGAGAGUUAAAUAGUACGUGAAACUGCUUAGAGGUUAAGCCCGAUGAACCUGAAUAUUCAUUAUGGAAAAUUCAACAUAUGCCUGUAGUAUAUAAAAAUACUAUAGAAAUAUUGUGCAUUUUUUUCAUAUAAGAACAUUGUAAUCUAUUAACAUAAUAUAUAUUUAUCAUAAGAUCGUUGACUUAAGUUCAUUCAAAUUGAGUUGCUUGCAAUUUAACAUAGAAUGAAUGUUAAUGAUUUGAUAAAGUGUUGAUAGAUUUAUUAAUUAGUGCUUAAAUUCUAUAGGAUUUUACAAUUGUGUAAAUUUCUUAGAUUUUUAUAUAAAUUGUAUGCGCUUAAUUGAUUAACAAUGCGAUAGAUUCAGGAUACCUUCGGGACCCGUCUUGAAACACGGACCAAGGAGUCUAACAUAUGUGCAAGUCAUUGGGAUAAUAUAAUUAAACCCAAAGGCAUAAUUAACUUAACUGGUAUUUAUAUGGGAUUAGUUUUUAGUCUAUUUUAUAGUCUAUCAAUUCAAUCCCGGGGCGUUCCGUUGUUAUGUAUAAUAAUAUUUAUAUUGUUUAUACCUCUAACUGGAGCGUACCUUGAGCAAAUAUGCUGUGACCCGAAAGAUGGUGAACUAUACUUGAUCAGGUUGAAGUCAGGGGAAACCCUGAUGGAAGACCGAAACAGUUCUGACGUGCAAAUCGAUUGUCAGAAUUGAGUAUAG